CUAUAAACCUGUCAGGAGAGAUACCACAAUCAUAAAGGUGGUUUUCUUAAGGAGAGGCUUAUCCAUUGCACUCCAGAUGCACUGACCCCUAAAAUUUUCCCAAAUGAGGGCAAUUCAAUUGCAUAAUUUGUUUUAAUGGGGGACUGAGUUAGCACUAUCACAUG